GACAUUGUUCUGGUGAGCACUUUCCCUGAGUGAGUUCCCACGUUUCGGCUGGCCGGGCAUGGCACGCAGGGGAAGCCAGCGGGCUCCCAGGGCUGAGAGGCAAUGUCUGGGGCUGAGCCCCGCUCGGGGAGGGGAUUGUUUUUAACGCUUCAAACCCUUUUUCUCCUCUCCCUGUGAAUUUAACCGCUGGGAAGCCUCCGCCGCAGCCUGCUCGAGGCAGCCAGCUCGGUCCUGCCUGCGGCCAAACACUUGCCACGCCUGCAGCCAAAGAUCUCGGCGCAGGCCAAGUCUGCUCCGCAGCAGCGCUUCCCCAAAGCCUCCCCCGGACACUGCGGAUCCACCCAGGUGGGACCUGGAGCUUCGGUCGCGCUUGGUGAUCAGCCCCUGGCAGCUUUGCACCUUGGGCACCUUGUGCAUCAGGGAAAGGAGCAGAAACGUGCCUGUGACACUGCCAUCCCCCUGGGGAGCUCGGUGCCAGCCCCGUUGAGGCGCUGCCAUCCCCGGCGAAGCAUCCCAGCAGCGCCGCCUCCGCGCGGCCCCAGCCAGCGCCCGGCUCGCGGCCCCACACAUCUGGCUGAAAGCUGUGCAGGCUGCCCUCGCUCUGAGGACACCGGCCCGGAUGCGCAUCCCUCCCGGAGAGAUUCCCCGUCCCCAGCCAGGCUCCUCUCCUCCUGGCAUCGUCCCUGCGCCAGCAGCGGGACGCACGUGGGCACUGCCGGGGAUGGGAGGCAAAGGGAUGGGGGCAAGGGGCUGGGGUGUAAAGGGAUGGGAGGUAAAGGGCUGGAUUUUAAAGGGAUGUAGGUAAGGGGCUGGGAUGUAAGGGGAUGGGAGGUAAAGGGAUGGAUGUAAAGGGCUGGGGUGUAAAAGGAUGGAUGUAAGGGGCUGGGACGGGAGGUAAAGGGCUGGGUUGU
rnacentral:lncRNA from 1 species